rnacentral:lncRNA from 1 species
GGAAUUACUUUAUGUGUGUAGAUAGUUUACUUAGAGAAAGUCAACUAUUAGGACCAUGAUGGAAGGUAUAUUAUGUGUUUUCGUACUGCUUAUUUAACAAUGUAAUUCAAUAUUUUUGCAUUCAUUUACCACUGAAAAUGAUUUGCUGCUAUAUUUAUUUGAAACUAGUUGAUGCAUUAUACAAUUAUGCUAUUAAUCAAUAAUUCACUUUUGUCAAAUGUUUCUCUUUGCAUGUCAAGUUACAGCUGCUCCAAUAAAAGCUUUUUUUUUGCUGAACUAGUCAAGCUUCUCUUCUCGUGUCUUCACUAGUAGGUCAGUUUCUUUUGCUAGCUUUAUGCAUUUCUCAUUUCAAAUUUGGUUCAAUAUCUAACGAUUAUCAACGUUUUUUAUGUUGUUUCAAAAUAAGAGACACAUAACUUUGUUUUGGUUUUGGGAGAGUUACCUAUACAUAGGGAAGACAAAGAAUGUUCUAUUUGUAUCCCUCUUUUUUGCUUUUAAAUGCAUGACACCAGAUUUACCUAUAUUGCGGAGACUGAAUAUUUUUCUAUAAUUUCAUGCAUUUUGAACCAGUUCUUCAUAGGGGUGGCAGGGGUAGUACAAGCUUGUUCAUGCUAUGUUAAUAGUCCUUGUAGAAUGAGGUGAAGAGCACCUGUAACUAUUUUUCAGAUUGGUGAGUAAAUCAAUUAUAAAAUUAUGUAGAGAUAUUUUUUGAGUCACUGGUACCUAAUAAUUUUAUAGGACUUGUUUAAUUUUCCAUGUUCUGUUUGUAUGUUGAUUAAUUUUCUCAUUGGAUUCAUCUCUAACUGAAUAGUAACAAAAUUGAGGCCAUUUAGAUAUAGAAUAUUAAUUUUGACUUUUCUAGUCAUAUUUUCUUCUCUUUUCUAUGUCACUAUUCAGCUUUUCUACUGGUACCAUAGAAUUAGGAGUGCUGAUUGGAAAAGGUGGCUAUUUUGGAAAUGUAUUAAAACUACACCUCUCUUAUGUUUCAGCCAAGAAGAUGCAGGUUACAUAUAUCUCUAAUUCUCUCUCUUGUUAACAUUACAUAAAUAAAUAGUUCUAGUGAAUGUCUUGUAACUUUUUAAUUUUUUUGGGUGCAAAUUUCCUAGUGGAUGCUAUGCACUACACAUUAUCUAAAAUGUUAAGCUUAAAUUAGAUGCAAGUGUUGGUUGAACCUACAAUUAUCAAUGGCUUCUUUCUUUGCAGAUAUAUUAAUACCGGUCUUGGUUCAGGUUGGAAUUAGGUGGCUGCAAUUAUUUAAUUAUGGUAUUGGUGAGCUUAGAAAGUAAGGAUUUGUUGGGCUGUUGCUCGAGGACAAUAUUCAAGACUAUUAAAUGAAAUCAUAUUUAUAGUUAGUGAGAUUUAAGCAUUCUGGUUUCAUGAUAUGACAUUUGUGUAGUCUAUGUAAUUCCAUUUGUACUUUCUUAUCUGUUGUAUCAUUUCAUAUAGGUUGUAGUUUUUUUGUUAAGAGCGUUGGAUCUUGAUUUAGGUGUAGUUCUGCAUAUUGUCAAUGCUGAGCAACUAAUGGAAUAUUUUGUAAUUUUGGCACUUCAAAAUAUUUUGUGUGCUUUGUGGUUGUCUUUCCUUUUAAUGCAAGUGUUGUUUAUUCAAAACAAUAAAAUAGAUUAUUAUCUAUUUAGAC